rnacentral:miRNA from 1 species
CUAUACAGUCUAUUGCCUUC